GAUGAACGCUGGCGGCGUGCCUAAUACAUGCAAGUCGAGCGAACAGACGAGGAGCUUGCUCCUCUGACGUUAGCGGCGGACGGGUGAGUAACACGUGGAUAACCUACCUAUAAGACUGGGAUAACUUCGGGAAACCGGAGCUAAUACCGGAUAAUAUAUUGAACCGCAUGGUUCAAUAGUGAAAGACGGUUUUGCUGUCACUUAUAGAUGGAUCCGCGCCGCAUUAGCUAGUUGGUAAGGUAACGGCUUACCAAGGCAACGAUGCGUAGCCGACCUGAGAGGCUGAUCGGCCACACUGGAACUGAGACACGGUCCAGACUCCUACGGGAGGCAGCAGUAGGGAAUCUUCCGCAAUGGGCGAAAGCCUGACGGAGCAACGCCGCGUGAGUGAUGAAGGUCUUCGGAUCGUAAAACUCUGUUAUUAGGGAAGAACAAAUGUGUAAGUAACUAUGCACGUCUUGACGGUACCUAAUCAGAAGGCCACGGCUAACUACGUG
rnacentral:rRNA from 1 species